rnacentral:rRNA from 1 species
CCUACGGGAGGCUGCAGUGGGGAAUAUUGCACAAUGGUGGAAACACUGAUGCAGCGACGCCGCGUGAGUGAAGAAGUAAUUCGGUAUGUAAAGCUCUAUCAGCAGGGAAGAAAAUGACGGUACGUGAGUAAGAAGCUCCGGCUAACUACGUGCCAGCAGCCGCGGUAAUACGCAGGGGGCAAGCGUUAUCCGGAUUUACUGGGUGUAAAGGGAGCGUAGACGGCUGUGCAAGUCUGGAGUGAAAGGCGGGGGCUCAACCCCCGGACUGCGCGGGAAACUGUACGGCUGGAGUGCAGGAGAGGUAAGUAGAAUUCCUAGUGUAGCGGUGAAAUGCGUAGAUAUUAGGAGGAACACCAGUGGCGAAGGCGGCUUACUGGACUGUAACUGACGUUGAGGCUCGAAAGCGUGGGGAGCAAACAGGAUUAGAUACCCGUGUAGUC